rnacentral:rRNA from 1 species
UGGCCUACGGGAGGCAGCAGUGAGGAAUAUUGGUCAAUGGCCGCAGGGCUGAACCAGCCAAGUCGCGUGAGGGAUGACGGUCCUAUGGAUUGUAAACCUCUUUUGUCAGGGAGCAAUUGAGUCCACGUGUGGGCUUAGCGAGAGUACCUGAAGAAAAAGCAUCGGCUAACUACGUGCCAGCAGCCGCGGUAAUACGUAGGUGGCAAGCGUUGUCCGGAAUUACUGGGUGUAAAGGGAGCGCAGGCGGGAAGCCAAGUCAGCUGUGAAAACUACGGGCUUAACUUGUAGACUGCAGUUGAAACUGG